GACACGCUGGCGGCGUGCCUGACACAUGCAAGUCGGACGGUUCUUGUAUCUUCAAGCUUGCUUGCAGGUGCAAGGAUAGUGGCGGACGGGUGAGUAACGCGUGAACAUCUACCCAUUGGAGGGGGACAACCCGUCGAAAGGCGGGCUAAUACCGCGUAAGCCGCGAGGUGAGAGGCUGCCUAUUGGUGGCCGCCGAUGGAUGGGUUCGCGUCCUAUCAGCUGGUUGGUGGGGUAACGGCCUACCAAGGCGAAGACGGGUAGCCGGUCUGAGAGGAUGGCCGGCCACACUGGAACUGAGACACGGUCCAGACUCCUACGGGAGGCAGCAGUGGGGAAUAUUGGUCAAUGGGCGGAAGCCUGAACCAGCCAUCCCGCGUGCAGGAAGACGGCCCUAUGGGUUGUAAACUGCUUUUCCAGGGGGAGAAACUUUCCGAUGCAUCGGGAUUUGACGGUACCCUGGGAAUAAGCAUCGGCUAACUCCGUG
rnacentral:rRNA from 1 species